GUCCCUGUAACGAAAUGGAUAGCGCGCGCGCUUUGGACUUCUAAUCCAAAGGUCGUGGGUUAGAAUUCCACCUGGGAUC